rnacentral:lncRNA from 1 species
UAAGCAAAAUUUAAAAGUAUGAAAUGUUUUUAACAAUAUCUUAAAAUAUUUUAAAAUCUGCAACAUAAAAUAAAACAAUGUUUUCUAGAUCUGAUAGCAAUAUAUGAAGAAUCACACUCUCUAUUUUUUGAAACCAUCUGCAUGCACUUCAAUUGCAGGAUAUAUGAUCGCCUAUGGAAUCAAUUAGAGUUAAUUGGAAAUAAGCAAGUUGUGCUGAUGUAGGAGUCACUGCAUACUCUAUAUGUAGAUACAUUCAUAUGUAAAGAAAAAGAGAUAAAAGUAUAUGGUUGGCUAUAAUAUGGAAAGUUUAAAAAGUUAAAAUCCACAAAGCAUAAAGUAUAAAUAUGGAAUCUAGAAGCACUGAAAAAGCAUUGUAUUGAAUCUGGAUACUAUGUAGAGAGAAAAAUAGUAAAUAACACAAGAUACAAUCAUAAUGUUAAUAGACUACUGGUGUUGAUUCUAAGAGAUAUGUUUGACUAUAAUCAAGAGAAUGCGAGAAAAAACGCAAAAAGAAAGAAAGAUAACAGUUAUUUGUUCUAAAAGCAUAUAU